GUAAAAAGUCCCUUCAUACCUCACUUGAAACCCUACUUGUGGUUUGUGUUGUUAUUCUCCAUACGCGGCCAGGGUUUUAGCAAAGCUCACUAAAGAGAUUGUGUUAGUUGAUAUGCUUGUUGACACAAGCCCAGCAAACUUUGGCAGGCCCAUUUAGAGUCCAUAAUAGGCCCAGAUCGGUCUAUCCUUCUACCAUCAUUCUUCAUCAGUGAUAGCCACCAUCGGCUGCCGGAGCUUUCGUCGAUUUUUGUUUCUUUCUCUCUUCUCCAGCGUCUCUAUAUCAUCUUGUGGCAGAUGAUUUAGGCGGAAUAUGGGAACUGUGAAUUUCAUCUGGAAUUUAACUAAGAAUUAUUUCACCUUUGGGCUCAUAGGCCUUACCAUCUCUGAUCGUUAUGCUAGUAUUGUUCCUGUUGGUGGCAUUUCAAUGUCUCCUACAUUUAAUCCACUUGAUGACAGUUCUAUGAGAUCCUUGACUCGUGACUUUGUUGUAGUGGAGAAGCUUUGCCUAGAAAAAUACAAGUUUUCCCUCGGCGAUGUGGUUGUCUUCAGCUCUCCAACUAAUCAUAAAGAGAAAAAUAUAAAGAGAAUAACAGCCUUAUCAGGUGACUUGGUCAGUACCCCCCCUUAUGAUGCAGUAGUGAUCCCUGAAGGACAUUGUUGGGUUGAAGGUGACAAUCAGGCGUGGAGCUUGGACUCAAGAUCCUUUGGCCCUAUCCCUCUUGGUUUGGUUCGUGGAAGGGUUAUCCAUGUUGUGUGGCCUCCUCACCGGGUUGGUAAAGUUGAUCGAAUGACACCAAAGAGCCUAACACCUUUCUAAUUGUAUUUUGAGUAUAUCAUAGAUUUCAAUUUGAUUGAUUUCAAUUGUAUUAUAGCCUGCAUAAUCAUUGUUCUUUAUACAGAAUCAAAUGUUUCAACUUUCGAC
rnacentral:misc_RNA from 1 species